UGGGGAAAGAAGAGACCCGAGUCCUCCACUUACUCUUUCAAUCUCCACGUACAUAUCUUGGCAUGUACAUAUGUAUAUAUCCAUAAUAAAAAAUAAAUAUAAUUAAAAAUAGGUGUGAUAGGAUACUUUUAAUAGCUCACUUUAAGGUCAUUAGAAGAGUGAGUCUUUGAAACAAGCAGCAAAGAUGAUUUGCAGAGUUGAAUCUUAGAUGAUAACCAUGUUAUCAAUCAAGGAAAGGAAGUCUGUCUCUACAGGCCAGAAAAAACCCUAACCAAUUCAUAAAUAAACAUACAAAAGAAAAGUAGUGUAAGAAGAACCAAAAUGUGCCAGUAUCCUAAGAGAUGGUUUUUAGUAGGUUAUAGCAAUUGGAAUUCCACCACUAGGAUCAUAGUAUCUUGGUUUUCUUUAAAUGUGUUAUAGGCAGGAAUGGACUGGAUAUUGUUGAAGUGAUUUACAGUUGGAGUUGCUUUGAAAAAAAGAGGAACUUCAUGCAGUUGAGCAGGAUUUCUUUUCCAGGUGUCCAGCUCAUUUCAAAGGGACCUACAGUUCUAGUCACAGCUAAGGAUGAUAGAGACAAGGAAUGCUGACUUAGAGGUUUCGAGUGUCCUGUCCAGGCUUGUCAGUAGAAUAGGUCAAUGCUUGGCAUUGUUACAGGUAUACAAGGGUGGCAUUCUGGAGCCAUACAAGAGUCCUGAUUGUGAGAGCAGCAAACUAUAUGAAGAGGAACUUUGUGGCAAGCCACUUCCUGGAGUACAAGAGGAUAGUGGGUGCUCAGGAAGCCAAAUAAUGGGCAAGUUUCUUAGCUACUGCUGGCUUCUCAGUCACAGAUCUCAGAUAAAGGUCAAUAUUCAAAAGUAAAUCCAAACAGUCAAAGGUCCAAAACGAACACAGCAUGGCAGCGAGGGUAGUUAAGGUUUAGAGUUUAGAAAGCAAUUGUUCUGUUUUGUUUUGGUGAACUCAAGGAGGGCACAGGUAGGAAAAUAGGAAAGGAAGGGCAAAGAAAAGAUGGUCUAUUUCCUCACAUGACGUUUGUUUCUUGGACAUGAAAGGAAAAAAUAGGUUAGUACACACGACCAGAAAAGAGUUUGCCCUGGAGUUUUACAAAAGGCAUUGGAUAGAAGAGAGAUUACUGAUUUAUUUGUUGUAUGUUCUUCGGGCAGACAGGCUACAUAAAGAUUAUGUUUGUCGAUUUCUGUGGAAUGUCAGGGAUGAUGUACUCUCAGAGUUGCAGAAGUGGAGACUGUCUAUCUCUGGAGGUGUCACCGUGGAUACCUGCACCAGAUUGGGGGUGUGCCAGGGUCUUCAAUUCCCCUUGUAACACUAAAGAGUGGCUAUAUAUCCUGACCAAUUUCUGAUAAUCUCAAAAGAUGUAUUUAAAAAUGGAUAAUAGGAGAUUGUUUCUAUGUAGAAUACAUCCUGAAGAAUGGCUUUAUUGGAGUGUAAACACUGAAUAAAGAAACAGAAAGGGGUGACUUUCUUCCUCAUUUGUUUCAUGGUUUGGUUUGGUUUGGUUUGGUUUGGUUUGGUUUGGUUUGGUUUUCUUUCUUGUUUUGGCAGGACCUCAUUCUGUAGCCCAAACUGAUCAGCAACUCCUGGACAUCCUCCUCAUUAGCCUCCCUAGUUCUGGAAUUACAGGUAUGAGCCACUAUGCCCAGCUUGAGGGAUAAAUUUUCAAAUUGCACUUUAAAUAAUUGACCUAGUGAUUCUGUCCUAGAUAACAUUCAGACUCCAGGAAUCUUUAUUCUUUCACUGAUUAUUCUCCUAAUAUCCCCAAAUAGCCAAAGCUGUAAUCUUCUGUCACUACAUAUAAGAGACUGGAGAUUGUGACU
rnacentral:lncRNA from 1 species